AUUUAAAAAAAAACUUAAAGAUAGCUUUUGGUUUUCCGUAUCAUCCACUAACUCGAUAUAUAAUAAAAAAAUAAUGAAUUUUAUACAGAUUGCAAACAUGUUUUUUUUUUACCUUCUCCGCCGUCUUAUUCUUCACGACUAAGCUGCUUCCAUAGCUUCUCAUAGGUUUCAUGAGUCAUACCUAGGUUUGCAACUGCUUUCAUCUUGCCUUAGGACACCUGUAUCCCACUACUCUUCAUUCCACAGAGUUGGACAUCCUUCUUCUCUUCUGUCUUCCACUUUCUCGUUUUUCUCAGUACGUCUCCCAAAUACCACCAUUUCCUCUUCUUUUUCUCUCGUCUCUUUCUUACCGGUGACUUCACCGUCUCCAUCACAUUAACCCCAAAUGCCAGUGCAAAUCACGGUUUACAUUCUGAUUGCAUCACCUCUCUCUGUUUUGAUUCCACGACCUUUCUAUAUGUUUUUGGUUUGAGUUCAGAUUGAACUUCUCCAAUUUCGUGGUUACCGGUAGCUCCCAUUGAGGCGUUGAAUUCUAUGUGUAGUUCAAAUAGUUGGGGGUUUUCCAUACCUUUCUCGCUUGGCGCGUGUGGUGGAGAGCAAUGUGUUGCCUGCAUAGCUACCAGGUCACCUUAAAACGGAAAAGCAAUUAAACCAUAGUGGAUAACGACAAGUGCAUAGAAGUAUCACCUACGCGUCUCCAUUUUUCCAAUUUUCUUAUGGACGUGAAUUUGACAUUCAUCAACCCACCGGUUGGCUCCAGAAGAACCUAUGUGGUUUAACUUGAUUAUGUGUUCAAUAAAAAGGAAAGGGAAAAGAUGAACUAGAUGUCAUGUCUUAUUUAUAGAGAGAAAAAGAUUACUCCAAGCAAGAAGGGGAGAAUUACAACUAUUAAAGGUUGGAAGUGGAAACUCUUUUUUUCUCACCGAGUAUGUUUCAGAUUACAAUACUCAUUUCAUUGUACAUAUACAUGAGCUUUGCUUGUGUGUGUCAGUGAACCUUAUUUUAUGAUCCUAGAUGACAAUUGAAAGCUGAAGUUUCAAUCUGCAAUUAUUGACAGUAAAUUGGGACAAAGGGGAAGGGAAAUGCCAAACAUUGCAGUCUUUGUUGUGUUGAAAUGUUAAAAACAAGAUUAAUUUGCUUUUUAGUAUAGCUUCUCAAUUAUGGAUAUAUGGUAUUUCAACUUCUAGAAUCAACUUUUAUGCCCUCUAUUUCAUAUGAAA